rnacentral:lncRNA from 1 species
AGCCAUUGAUUUUUCAUAUUUUAGAAAUAAUUUAAUCAAUUAAAAAAUAGCCUAUUGACCGGAGAAAGGACCCCACCAUCUUGAUUCCCCUAAUCACAGGAUUUCGACGGAGCACACCCAAAAGCAGUCGAGCAGUGUAGUGCAUAGUGCACUCUUGAUGGUCCUCGUGUAGGGUGUGAUCUACUAAUCUGGUUGACAUUUGUUUUUUUUCAAAUAGUUUCAGUUUUGUGAAAUUGUCCAUAUAGCUAUUCACAUUAACAGCCCCGUACUAACACAUAUACACCUGCAUCCUACAUGUAAGUCACAUACAUGUACUCAUACUACCGGCCACUUGCUAACACAUGUACAUAUGAUACACACAUAUGUCACGCACACGUAAUCACGUACGAUCUGUACGGUAACACAAAAUCAAAUGCUAUUAUUGUCACACAUACAAGUCAUAUUAAAUACAAAAUAAAAAAACAUGGUAACCAAAAUAUAUCAAGUUUAAAGUUGCAAAAUUUUAAAAAUUGCCAUAUCCUCC